rnacentral:tRNA from 1 species
GCCGGGAUGGUCUAAUCGGUUAAGGCGUCGCCCCGGAUAGGCCAAGGUUGCGGGUUCAAUUCUCGCUCCUGGCC